UACAUGCAGUCGAACGAAUUACCUUCGGGUAGUUAGUGGCGCACGGGUGCGUAACGCGUGGGAAUCUGCCCCUUGGUUCGGAAUAACAGUUGGAAACGACUGCUAAUACCGGAUGAUGACGUAAGUCCAAAGAUUUAUCGCCGAGGGAUGAGCCCGCGUAGGAUUAGGUAGUUGGUGUGGUAAAGGCGCACCAAGCCGACGAUCCUUAGCUGGUCUGAGAGGAUGAUCAGCCACACUGGGACUGAGACACGGCCCACACUCCUACGGGAGGCAGCAGUGGGGAAUAUUGGACAAUGGGCGAAAGCCUGAUCCAGCAAUGCCGCGUGAGUGAUGAAGGCCUUAGGGUUGUAAAGCUCUUUUACCCGGGAUGAUAAUGACAGUACCGGGAGAAUAAGCUCCGGCUAACUCCGUGCCAGCAGCCGCGGUAAUACGGAGGGAGCUAGCGUUAUUCGGAAUUACUGGGCGUAAAGCGCACGUAGGCGGCUUUGUAAGUAAGAGGUGAAAGCCCAGAGCUCAACUCUGGAAUUGCCUUUUAGACUGCAUCGCUUGAAUCAUGGAGAGGUCAGUGGAAUUCCGAGUGUAGAGGUGAAAUUCGUAGAUAUUCGGAAGAACACCAGUGGCGAAGGCGGCUGACUGGACAUGUAUUGACGCUGAGGUGCGAGA
rnacentral:rRNA from 1 species